CGCCUGUUUAACAAAAACAUGUCCUUUUGAAUGUAUUUAAGGUCUGACCUGCCCAGUGAUUUAUUUUAACGGCCGCGGUAUAUUGACCGUGCAAAGGUAGCAUAAUCAUUAGUCUUUUAAAAGAGGGCUGGAAUGAAAGGUUUGACGAGGUAUUAACUGUCUCAUUUUAUUUGUAUUUAGAAUUUAACCUUUUAGUCAAAAGGCUUAAAUUUAAUUGGAAGACGAGAAGACCCUAUAGAGCUUUAUAAUAAUUAUUUUAAUUAUAAAUAUAUAAUUUUUAACUAAAUAUUUUAUUAUUUUGUUGGGGUGACAGAAAAAUAAAAUUAACUUUUUUAUUUAUAUAACAUUAAUUUAUGGUUAUUCGAUCCAUUAUUAUUGAUUAUUAGAUUAAGUUACCUUAGGGAUAACAGCG
rnacentral:rRNA from 1 species